rnacentral:rRNA from 1 species
UGUUGCGGUUAAAAAGCUCGUAGUUGGAUUUCUGAUGAGAACGGCCGGUCCGCACUAUGUGCGUGUAUCUGGUUCGGUCUUGGCACCCUCUUGGGGAACGGCGCUGCGCUUGAUUGCGUGGGUCGGUAUUCAAGACUUUUACUUUGAGGAAAUUAGAGUGUUCACGGCAGGCCUUCGCCUUGAAUAUAUUAGCAUGGAAUAAUAAUAUAGGAUCUUGGUUCUAUUUUGUUGGUUUCUAGAACUAAGGUAAUGAUUAAUAGGGAUAAUUGGGGGCAUUUGUAUUAACGCGUCAGAGGUGGAAUUCUUGGAUUGCGUUACGACAAACUACUGCGAAAGCAUUUGCCAAGGAUGUUUUCAUUGAUCAAGAACGAAAGUGUGGGGAUCGAAGACGAUUAGAUACCGUCGUAGUCUACACCAUAAACUAUGCCAACUAGAGAUUGGAGGUCGUUCUUUUUAUGACUCCUUCAGCACCUUAUGAGAAAUCAAAGUCUUUGGGUUCCGGGGGGAGUAUGGUCGCAAGGCUGAAACCUAAAGGAAUUGACGGAAGGGCACCACCAGGAGUGGAGCCUGCGGCUUAAUUUGACUCAACACGGGAAAACUUACCAGGUCCAGACAUAGUAAGGAU